rnacentral:misc_RNA from 1 species
GAUGAAGAACGUAGCGAAAUGCGAUAAGUAAUGCGAAUUGCAGAAUUCAGUGAGUCAUCGAAUCUUUGAACGCACAUUGCGCCCCUUGGUAUUCCAUUGGGCAUGCCUGUUCGAGCGUCAUUUACACCCUCAAGCCUAGCUUGGUGUUGGGCGUUGUCCGCAAGGACUCGCCUCAAAUUCAUUGGCAGCGGCAUCGUCAGCUUCUCGCGCAGCACAUUGCGCUUCAGAAGGCUUCUGGCGGGCUCGCGUCCACUAAGAUACCACCCAGUUUGACCUCGAAUCAGGUAGGGAUACCCGCUGAACUUAAGCAUAUCAAUAAGCGGAGGA